UGGUGCAUCUGUCUUUGAGUCAUUUCU
rnacentral:piRNA from 1 species